AGGCUGGGUACAAUCCAGAUUAACUAUUCCUUCUACAGACAAUCCUUCAUUCAAAUCGAUGCCCGAAGAACCUGAUCCGUGAGGCAACGGCUUUUCUAUUAGAUGUUUUGAAGCCAAAUCUUCCUGUUUCCUUCAAACAAAGAAUUUUUCAGCAGUGAGUACUUCUAGCUCAUCUUUUACACAUCAUUUUGAUGCCAAGAUGAAGGGAUGAAGAACAGUUGAUUUAGGUACUUAUAUUGUCGUUUUCUAUUUGAAAUUAUAA